ACGUAGGGAGCAAGCGUUGUCCGGAAUUACUGGGCGUAAAGAGCUCGUAGGCGGGUUCGUAAGUCUUAGAGUAAAUCUCACGGCUCAACCGUGGGGCCUUCUGAGAUACUGCGAAUCUUGAGGAUGUCAGAGGAAAGUAGAAUUCCCGGUGUAGCGGUGAAAUGCGUAGAUAUCGGGAGGAAUACCAGUGGCGAAGGCGACUUUCUGGGACAUUCCUGACGCUCAGGCACGAAAGCGUGGGGAGCAAACAG
rnacentral:rRNA from 1 species